GUGCUGGCUUUAAAAGCAUGUGCACUCUUCAACUCUUAUCCUAUCCACCUGUGCACAUCCUGUAGGCAGAAAUGAGGAACAAAUUUUGUUCUUGGAACAAAAGUUGUUCUCCUGUUUCACUGCCUAUGUUUUUACAUACACCAAGUAAAGUUGAAGCAUGUGAAAUAUAUUAUACAACUUUCAACAAUGGAUCUCUUGGUUCUCGCAUCGAUGAAGAACGCAGCGAAUUGCGAUAUGUAAUGUGAAUUGCAGAAUUCAGUGAAUCAUCGAAUCUUUGAACGCAUAUGGCACCCUCUCUUGAAAUAGGAGGGUAUGCCUGUUUGAGUGUCAUUAAACUCCUCAAUACCAUUUACUGGUGUUUGGAUGUUGAAGGUCUGCUGGUGAAUCCCAUCAUCAGCUCCUUUUAAAUACAUGAGCAGGACUACAUGCAACCAGCUCCAAUUUGAUAAGCUUGUUAUCUUUGUUGUUGCUGGGAGUGAAUAAUGUAAUUGUCUGCUACUAGUUGUCCCUGACCAUUGGGACUUGCCUAAUAGGCAACCAUUUGAACCCUUGACCUCAAAUCAGGUAGGACUACCCGCUGAACUUAAGCAUAUCAAUAA
rnacentral:rRNA from 1 species